rnacentral:rRNA from 1 species
GCUUUGGCGGCUCCGGCCGCCAAAGGACCUUCAAACUCCAGUCAGUAAACGCAGACGUCUGAUAAACAAGUUAAUAAACUAAAACUUUCAACAACGGAUCUCUUGGUUCUGGCAUCGAUGAAGAACGCAGCGAAAUGCGAUAAGUAAUGUGAAUUGCAGAAUUCAGUGAAUCAUCGAAUCUUUGAACGCACAUUGCGCCCCUUGGUAUUCCGGGGGGCAUGCCUGUUCGAGCGUCAUUACAACCCUCAAGCUCUGCUUGGAAUUGGGCACCGUCCUCACUGCGGACGCGCCUCAAAGACCUCGGCGGUGGCUGUUCAGCCCUCAAGCGUAGUAGAAUACACCUCGCUUUGGAGCGGUUGGCGUCGCCCGCCGGACGAACCUUCUGAACUUUUCUCAAGGUUGACCUCGGAUCAGGUAGGGAUACCCGCUGAACUUAAGCAUAUCAAUAAGCGGAGGAAAAGAAACCAACAGGGAUUGCCUUAGUAACGGCGAGUGAAGCGGCAACAGCUCAAAUUUGAAAGCUGGCCCUUUUAGGGUCCGCAUUGUAAUUUGUAGAGGAUGAUUCGGCGAGGGCUCCUGCCUAAGUCCCCUGGAACGGGGCGUCAUAGAGGGUGAGAAUCCCGUAUGCGGUAGGUUGCCUUAGCCAUGUGAAUCUCCUUCGACGAGUCGAGUUGUUUGGGAAUGCAGCUCUAAAUGGGAGGUAAAUUUCUUCUAAAGCUAAAUACCGGCCAGAGACCGAUAGCGCACAAGUAGAGUGAUCGAAAGAUGAAAAGCACUUUGGAAAGAGAGUUAAAAAGUACGUGAAAUUGUUGAAAGGGAAGCGCUUGCAACCAGACUUGUCCGCAGUUGCUCAGCCGGUCUCCUGACCGGCGUACUCUUCUGCGGCCAGGCCAGCAUCAGUUCGGGCGGUCGGAUAAAGGCCUCGGGAA